CAUUUUUUCCUUAUGCCUAUUUGCAAAACCCAUCACCCGUGAAGAGAGAGAGAGAGACUACACUAAUCUCUACAAUUGAUGCACUCUUCUUUUCAAAAUCAACUAUCUCAUCUCUCUCAUUAUUUUUGGUUUCUCCGUCGUUACCAUCUCUCAUCUCUUUCAAUCUCUUUGUGUUCUCCGUCGGAGCCUUUGUUCCAAAAUAAACUCUCCGAUUUCUAUUCUUUAGUCUCACCAGAGUCUCUAGGAUUUAUACAAUUGGCUCCAUCUCUUCUUAUAUGAGCUAGAAUCCUGGCAUCCUUGCACAAUCACGUCGUCCAUCUCCAUGGAUUCAGACCGUCCGCGAGAAAUAAGAGCCCACAAUCUAUGCCGCUUCUUCCCUUGAAUCCAGAGGUCCGAUCGAGCUGAUUCCUUAUGCUUUCGUUGCUCCGCCUGCUUCUCUGUUGACGGCUGUUGUAGACUAGAAAUCGGAGGAAUCUAAUGGUGAUUGCAGAUUGGGCAAUGCAAGGAUGAAACCAGUUUGUAAAAGGAGAGAGAAUGGAGCUUAUGAGCCGGAUAAUAGUUGUGUUAGCUGGAAAAUAUUGUUGUAUGGCUUUUUCUAUAUUUAUCUUCAUAAUCUUUAUUCUAAGUAACAUUAGCUUGUUAAUACUGUUGUUUUCGAUAUUCACGGGGCUAACGAUUUUUUUUUUUUGAUAAGGACAACUCAGUUGGC